rnacentral:lncRNA from 1 species
AAGAAAUGCAUAGCAUUGAAGGUAAUUUUCAGAAAACUUCAUCUCUUCGAUUCUCACUCAAUUCGACUCAAUUCUAUUGGAUCUUUGGUUGUCUGAAGUCCUACAAAUGUAGGAAAGAAGAUUGAGUUGCUUAGAGGUUAAAUCGAAGCAACUCAGUUGACACACCUCAAAAUUCAACUCCUCAUAUCUUUCUAUAUGUGUGGAGUUAGUAAAAAUUGAGGUUAGAUUCGUGCUCUACGUCACUUUUCCUUUC